rnacentral:rRNA from 1 species
CCUACGGGAGGCAGCAGUGAGGAAUAUUGGUCAAUGGACGAGAGUCUGAACCAGCCAAGUAGCGUGAAGGAUGACUGCCCUAUGGGUUGUAAACUUCUUUUAUAUGGGAAUAAAACAGGGUAUGCAUACCCUCUUGUAUGUACCAUAUGAAUAAGGAUCGGCUAACUCCGUGCCAGCAGCCGCGUUAAUACGGAGGAUCCGAGCGUUAGCCGGAUUUAUUGGGUUUAAAGGGAGCGUAGGUGGAUUGUUAAGUCAGUUGUGAAAGUUUGCGGCUCAACCGUAAAAUUGCAGUUGAAACUGGCAGUCGUGAGUACAGUAGAGGUAGGCGGAAUUCGUGGUGUAGCGGUGAAAUGCUUAGAUAUCACGAAGAACUCCGAUUGCGAAGGCAGCUCACUGGACUGCAACUGACACUGAUGCUCGAAAGUGUGGGUAUCAAACAGGAUUAGAUACCCGUGUAGUC